rnacentral:SRP_RNA from 1 species
GCCAAGUGUGAUGUCAUGCACCUUAGUCCCAGCUACUCUGGAGGCUGAGUUGGGAGGAUCGCUUGAGCCAGGGAGUUCUAGGCUGUAGUGUGCCAUGCCAAUUGUGUGUCCACACUCAGCUUGGCAUUAAUAUGGCUUCCUGGGAGCAAGUGUUGCCUAAGGAGGGGUAAACCAGCCCGGGUCAGAAAUGGAGCCAGUCAAAACUCCUGUGCUGAUUAGUAGUGGGGUCACACCUGUGAAUAGCCACCGCACUCCAGCCUGGCAACUUCAUGAGACUCCUUCUCU